AAUAUCCAUCCCACCUCCCUCUGACAGACAUUUUGAAUAUGUUUUGACUCCAGGGAAAUCACAUGGUCUUUAGUAAAAGCAUUAAAGGCUGCCCAGUUUGCGCUGCUUAAGAGCGUCUCGCUCUCCGUCGGCCCCUGAGGGUCGCGAAACUCAGCCCUCCUCAGGUACGACUCACUACAGAAAACAGUAAGACUUGGAGGCAGCGCUAUGGCAACAGCAGAGCCCGGCAUUAAGAUUCCGGUGGCGUUCCGAUCGCGAGCACACUAGUCACAGGUUUCUCGGGGAAUCUCCUCCAGGCUGCGCUUCCAAGGUCUUUCUGCAGUGACGGGACCACACCUGCAGCACGUACGUCACAGAUACUGUAAAUACAACAGAGAUAACAGGUGGAGGUCGGGCGUGGCUGUUCCUGGUCGAAGCCUUGGAGGCAAAAUCUCUCUAAUGCACUUAGAAUCUGGCACAUACACCUUCCUCCCACUCAGGAAGUCCUGAUGGGGCAGAGAGCACUCACUGCAAAGAAGACAGAGGGGAGAGAGAGAGAAUCCACCGGAGCAUAAACCCCCUGGAGACUGACAGUACAGUGCUUGUAUCUGUGAUGAGGGUGUGUAUGCGUGUGUGCGUGUGUGGGUGUAUUUCAGAGAGGAAAGGACAUGUGGCAGAUUUAAGAGCACUUGUGUGCAGCACGAAGGUGUUUUCCGCCAAGUUGGGAAAUUUUUUUUUUGUCAAAACACGGGCUGAUUGCCAUGGUUAUAAUUACGCUAAUGGCUUCAUUACGGGCAUUAAUUCAGCCCUCAUCAGUCUUUUGCCAGUGAUUAGUUCAAAGUGGAGGAGAGGUGAAACAUAGAGUUCUCAAAAGAAAAUGAUUUUCCUAAACAGGCAGAAUCUACCGGAUCAAGAUGUCCUCCCACAAUCCCUCAUGGUUUUGUAACACACAGAGACUCCGGCCAAUAUCAUCAGAUGGAGUUUGUCAGAUGGAAACUGAUAUAAUCCUGAUUUACUGUUAUGACACCAACUGAAGAUGCACUCGAAAGAAGAAUUCUUCGGCUGAACUUAAUUCAAUUGUGGACAGCACUUCCACACGUUGGAAAUGGGUUUUCCUGACAUUAAAUUAAACUGUGAACCUUGUGAAGUGGAAACCUAACAGAAUAGAAUAAAUGCAAUAAAAUUAGACAUAUCAAAUUAGACCAACCAAGGAUUUGGUAUUUACAUCAGACUUCAUGGAUUUUUAUUAUCGGGUAACUAUGAGAUCAGAUUUCCAUGAAGAGGAUACUAGCUGAUAUCUGGACCAGCAACAUGUUUUUUUAAUGCAAAUAAUGGCCCCUUCUCACAUUUCCAAGUUUCAAAAGUCAUCAUAGUUGCAUAAAGUUCUAUAGUUUAUAUGGUGAAUGAUAACUACAACAAAUCAAAUGUUUAUGUUACCAUUUAAGCCAAUACCAAAAAUAAAUAAUCCAUGAUAUAGUGUUUCUAUGACUUUCCAAAAAGUAAAAAAAAAAUAUUGAAUUAUUGAUUACAGUAGUCAGAAGUGAGAACAAUGUCAAAUUUGCUGUCACUCCCUCAGCUGAAAUGGCAAGGUAAUAUAAUACAAACUUUAGUGUUAUAAAUGUACACAAUUUUUGUAAAAGAAUAUUGGAAAUGCUGAAAACACCAGCAG